rnacentral:lncRNA from 1 species
AAAAAGCUAAAUGAUUUGAUCUCCUUUGCAUAAACUUGGUUGUGAAUUUCACAUUUUAGCAUUAAGUUGUGUAUGGGCAUAAAUAGUGAUGUGAAUCCUUAGUGUAGACACCAUCUGUUUCUAUAGAUAUAGAAGUGAUCUACUCAAAAUAAUUCCUUACAAUUAAUAAUCAUAUCAACUAAAGUUUAAACAAAGAAUAUACAUGGAAUUACAAAAAAAAUUAUGAAAAGAGGUUGAGCAAGUCACCAUGGAGAAAAUGGAUACUCACUUAUUCCUUCUUCACUAGAUCGCUUGCUUCACUGAAUCACACACAACUGAUUGCUUCUUUCACUUUCCUCGGAAUCAACUGUUUGCUAAGAUGAUUAGUCGCUGUAA